rnacentral:rRNA from 1 species
GACGAACGCUGGCGGCGUGCCUAAUGCAUGCAAGUCGAGCGGGCUACAGUCUUCGGAUUGUAGUUUAGCGGCGAACGGGUGAGUAACACGUAGGUAAUCUACCCUUCAGAGGAGGACAACCUCAGGAAACUGAGGCUAAACCUCCGUACGUUCAUGUGCAGGGAUGCAGAUGAAGAAAGAGUUACCCCUAGAGGGUAGCUGCUGAAGGAUGAGCCUGCGGCCCAUCAGGUAGUUGGUGAGGUAACGGCUCACCAAGCCGAAGACGGGUAACCGGUCUGAGAGGAUGUCCGGUCACACUGGGACUGAGACACGGCCCAGACUCCUACGGGAGGCAGCAGCAGGGAAUCUUGGGCAAUGGGCGAAAGCCUGACCCAGCGACGCCGCGUGGAGGAAGAAGUCCUUCGGGGCGUAAACUCCUGGACGUGGGGACGGAGGAAGGACGGUACCCCGAGUAAGAAAGGGACGGCGUAACUACGUCGCCAGCAGCCGCGGUAAAGCGUACGUAGA